CGUGUAUAAGUCUCUUGGAACAGAGCGUCAUAGAGGGUGAGAAUCCCGUCUUUGACACGGACUACCAGUGCUUUGUGAUGCGCUCUCAAAGAGUCGAGUUGUUUGGGAAUGCAGCUCAAAAUGGGUGGUGAAUUCCAUCUAAAGCUAAAUAUUGGCGAGAGACCGAUAGCGAACAAGUACCGUGAGGGAAAGAUGAAAAGCACUUUGGAAAGAGAGUUAAACAGUACGUGAAAUUGCUGAAAGGGAAACGCUUGAAGUCAGUCGCGUCUUCCGGAACUCAGCCUUCCUUUUGGUUGGUGCACUUUCCGGUUGACGGGCCAGCAUCAAUUUCGACCGUCGGAUAAGGGCUGGGGAAAUGUGGCACCUUUCGGGGUGUGUUAUAGUCCUCAGUCGCAUACGUCGGUCGGGAUUGAGGAUCGCAGCGCGCCGCAAGGCAGGGGUUCGCCCACUUUCGCGCUUAGGAUGCUGGCAUAAUGGCUUUAAACGACCCGUCUUGAAACACGGACCAAGGAGUCUAACAAACCUGCGAGUGUUUGGGUGGAAAACCCGAGCGCGUAAUGAAAGUGAAAGUUGAGACCUCUGUCGUGGAGGGCAUCGACGCCCGGACCUGACGUUCUCUGACGGAUCCGCGGUAGAGCAUGUUUGUUGGGACCCGAAAGAUGGUGAACUAUGCCUGAAUAGGGUGAAGCCAGAGGAAACUCUGGUGGAGGCUCGUAGCGAUUCUGACGUGCAAAUCGAUCGUCAAAUUUGGGUAUAGGGG
rnacentral:rRNA from 1 species